rnacentral:lncRNA from 1 species
CGCAGAUGUGAAUAACUGGGAGGAUUUUUAUGUAUAAUUAUAGCAUGAUACAGCUCCUGCGUACGUUUCAAGUUUGUUGCCCCAGAUACUGCAGUCACGUUAGAAAGUACCACAGAGCCUGCUGGCUUCGAGAGACCUUAUGUCACACAGAAGGGAGAAACUGGGCUCCUGUGUUUAGAAGAAUUUGUUAGGGUCCUGUCUGCCUUUCAGAUUUAGUACCCCAGUUAAAGAGUGUGUCCCUCUUGAGCUUUAUUCAGAAAAAGUAUCUUUAAGUUUACUUGAAACUCUUAAUAUUUGACU